UACGAAGGGGGCUAGCGUUGCUCGGAAUCACUGGGCGUAAAGGGUGCGUAGGCGGGUCUUUAAGUCAGGGGUGAAAUCCUGGAGCUCAACUCCAGAACUGCCUUUGAUACUGAAGAUCUCGAGUUCGGGAGAGGUGAGUGGAACUGCGGGUGUAGAGGUGAAAUUCGUAGAUAUUCGCAAGAACACCAGUGGCGAAGGCGGCUCACUGGCCCGAUACUGACGCUGAGGCACGAAAGCGUGGGGAGCAAACAGG
rnacentral:rRNA from 1 species